rnacentral:rRNA from 1 species
GAUGAACGCUGGCGGCGUGCCUAACACAUGCAAGUCGAGCGAUCUUCUUCGGAAGAGAGCGGCGGACGGGUGAGUAACGCGUGGGUAACCUGCCCUGUACACACGGAUAACAUACCGAAAGGUAUGCUAAUACGAGAUAAUAUACUUUUAUCGCAUGGUAGAAGUAUCAAAGCUCCGGCGGUACAGGAUGGACCCGCGUCUGAUUAGCUAGUUGGUAAGGUAACGGCUUACCAAGGCGACGAUCAGUAGCCGACCUGAGAGGGUGAUCGGCCACAUUGGAACUGAGACACGGUCCAAACUCCUACGGGAGGCAGCAGAGGGGAAUAUUGCACAAUGGGCGAAAGCCUGAUGCAGCAACGCCGCGUGAGCGAUGAAGGCCUUCGGGUCGUAAAGCUCUGUCCUCAAGGAAGAUAAUGACGGUACUUGAGGAGGAAGCCCCGGCUAACUACGUGCCAGCAGCCGCAGUAA